rnacentral:rRNA from 1 species
UAUCUUCGGAUAAUAGUAAAGUGGCGAACGGGUGAGUAACGCGUAAAUAACUUGCCUUGGAGAUUGGGACAACAUUGGGAAACCAGUGCUAAUACCAAAUAAUGCAGCGGGCCCUUCGGGGCAUAGUUGUUAAAGUAGGCUUCGGCUUACACUUCAAGAUAGAUUUGCGUCCGAUUAGUUAGUUGGUAGGGUAAUAGCCUACCAAGACCGAGAUCGGUAGCUGGUCUGAGAGGAUGAUCAGCCACACUGGAAUUGAGAUACGGUCCAGACUCCUACGGGAGGCAGCAGUGAGGAAUUUUGCACAAUGGGCGAAAGCCUGAUGCAGCAACACCGCGUGAUUGAUGAAGUUUUUAGGAAUGUAAAAAUCUGUCGUAAGGGAAGAAAUGUUUCGGAUGUUAAUACCAUCUGUUACUGACGGUACCUUACAAGAAAGGACCGGCUAACUUCGUGCCAGCAGCCGCGGUAAUACGAGGGGUCCUAGCGUUGUCCGGAUUUACUGGGCGUAAAGGGUACGUAGGCGUUUUAAUAAGUUGUAUGUUAAAUAUCUUAGCUUAACUAAGAAAGUGCAUACAAAACUGUUAAGAUAGAGUUUGAGAGAGGAACGCAGAAUUCAUGGUGGAGCGGUGACAUGCGUAGAUAUCAUGAGGAAAGUCAAAUGCGAAGGCAGCCUUCUGGCUCAAAACUGACGCUGAGGUACGAAAGCGUGGGGAGCGAACAGGAUUAGAUACCCUGGUAGUCCACGCCGUAAACGAUGAGUAUUUGGUGCUGGGGGAUUCGACCC